rnacentral:rRNA from 1 species
AACGAACGCUGGCGGCAGGCCUAACACAUGCAAGUCGAACGCCCUAGCAAUAGGGAGUGGCAGACGGGUGAGUAACACGUGGGAACGUGCCCUUCGGUUCGGAAUAACUCAGGGAAACUUGAGCUAAUACCGGAGAAGUGCGAGAGCAGAAAGAUUUAUCGCCGAAGGAUCGGCCCGCGUCCGAUUAGCUAGUUGGUGAGGUAAUGGCUAACCAAGGCGACGAUCGGUAGCUGGUCUGAGAGGAUGACCCGCCACACUGGGACUGAGACACGGCCCAGACUCCUACGGGAGGCAGCAGUGGGGAAUAUUGGACAAUGGGCGCAAGCCUGAUCCAGCCAUGCCGCGUGAGUGAUGAAGGCCCUAGGGUUGUAAAGCUCUUUCGCCAGGGACGAUAAUGACGGUACCUGGAUAAGAAGCCCCGGCUAACUUCGUGCCAGCCGCCGCGGUAAUAC